rnacentral:rRNA from 1 species
UACGUAGGGGGCAAGCGUUGUCCGGAUUUAUUGGGCGUAAAGAGCGUGAAGGCGGCCAGACAGGUCCGUUGUGAAAACUCGAGGCUCAACCUCGAGAUGUCGAUGGAAACCGUCUGGCUAGAGUCCGGAAGAGGAGUGUGGAAUUCCUGGUGUAGCGGUGAAAUGCGUAGAUAUCUGGAGGAACACCGGUGGCGAAGGCGGCAUCCUGGACCGGCAUUGACGCUGAGGCACGAAGGUCAGGGGAGCAAACGGG